CUGAUGCUAAUAAGAUAUUCAACUCUGAGCAAUCAAUGCCAAACUACCUCAAAUAGCGCAAAUGCGUUACGGUGUUAGGUUUUGAAAUUCGCUUGUCAAUCCGUUUUAAUAAACGUGGAUCCUUUGAACAAUCCAAUUAUAUUAGGCAAAUGGUAUAGCCUUGAUUUUUAGUGUCGGUAAAAGGAUGUACCUAAUCAGCGAAAAACUCAAGACAGGAAAAAAAGUUCCGAGGCUUUGUUUUAGCGUAGAUAGUCGAGCAAGCCGUCAGCAAUAGACUCGGGAAUUUUUCUUUAAAACCUCAGAAAGGUUGCAUGAGUUUGUGGUACCGAUCGUUAUAGUUAGUUUUGUAAGCACACAAAAUUUAGUAAUGUACUUGUCGCUUAACUUAAUACAAUGUUUGUUUCUGAAACGAUGAACCAGGUUUCAGCUUCCUAAUUGUCGGUACAGAGGAUAAACUUGAUUUUUUAUAAUCCAACUUGGAACACAGUUCAAGCAAUCGUCGUUUUUGUAUAUCGAUAAGCAAGUAGGAGGAGCUCAGGCUUUAUUAGAAAAGAUGCUACAGAUAACACCAUUCAAAUGUGUCAUUCGGUGUUAAAAACACAUAAAAAUUACUGUCAAAGUAGACCUGAUAAAAUCAGUCUAAAUAACCAUAAUUGCAAAGAUAUUCGUUAAGUGCCAAUAUGAAUGACUUUACCAACAAUAAGGUAGCCAGUUUAAAUCAACCGUUAUAGACCCUGUCAAUUGAAGUUUUAAGCAUUGGUUCAUACUGACCCCUUUCCAAAUUACUAUGGAUUAUUUGGCCUGAGGUAAAUCCCAACUCUUUUGCUCAUUUAUGUCUAAUUGACAACGAUUUAUUUUUGUUUGAGCUCACUCUCUCAUCAAAGUGUUUUCUUAAACCGAAAACUCUUACAAGGGAAUCAAAUUAAUUAAAAAUUAUUUUUGAAUAAGAUUUUGCAUGGCUCAAUAAAAUAUGUGGUAUAUGGUUAAUGAUAAAACAUUAUAGAGAAAGCGCGUCGCGAAUUAGCUUGUAAAAAAAUGAUGUGCCAAGCAAACCUUCUACCACCAAAUGGAAAUUUCCUUUCCUCUUACACAGAAUACUCAUGUAUUUUAGAAUAGCGUUUUAUUUAUGAUUGAUUGCAAUUGAAACGCGUAAAAUCCAUUAAAACGCUAUUGUCAGACGC
rnacentral:misc_RNA from 1 species